rnacentral:sRNA from 1 species
CCCCCAAAGAAACCGGCAUCCGCUCCUGCA